rnacentral:pre_miRNA from 1 species
UGGACAGAUUAUUGUAUUCGACUGUAUUCAUGGCGUGAAACAGGGGAUUACACUGUUUUUAAACGGAAAGUGUAUCAAUUAACAUAAUAGACUACU